GACGAACGCUGGCGGCGUGCUUAACACAUGCAAGUCGAACGGAAAGGCCCUGCUUUUGUGGGGUGCUCGAGUGGCGAACGGGUGAGUAACACGUGAGUAACCUGCCCUUGACUUUGGGAUAACUUCAGGAAACUGGGGCUAAUACCGGAUAGGAGCUCCUGCUGCAUGGUGGGGGUUGGAAAGUUUCGGCGGUUGGGGAUGGACUCGCGGCUUAUCAGCUUGUUGGUGGGGUAGUGGCUUACCAAGGCUUUGACGGGUAGCCGGCCUGAGAGGGUGACCGGCCACAUUGGGACUGAGAUACGGCCCAGACUCCUACGGGAGGCAGCAGUGGGGAAUAUUGCACAAUGGGCGGAAGCCUGAUGCAGCAACGCCGCGUGCGGGAUGACGGCCUUCGGGUUGUAAACCGCUUUCGCCUGUGACGAAGCGUGAGUGACGGUAAUGGGUAAAGAAGCACCGGCUAACUACGUGCCAGCAGCCGCGGUGAUACGUAGGGUGCGAGCGUUGUCCGGAUUUAUUGGGCGUAAAGGGCUCGUAGGUGGUUGAUCGCGUCGGAAGUGUAAUCUUGGGGCUUAACCCUGAGCGUGCUUUCGAUACGGGUUGACUUGAGGAAGGUAGGGGAGAAUGGAAUUCCUGGUGGAGCGGUGGAAUGCGCAGAUAUCAGGAGGAACACCAGUGGCGAAGGCGGUUCUCUGGGCCUUUCCUGACGCUGAGGAGCGAAAGCGUGGGGAGCGAACAGGCUUAGAUACCCUGGUAGUCCACGCUGUAAACGGUGGGUACUAGGUGUGGGGUCCAUUCCACGGGUUCCGUGCCGUAGCUAACGCUUUAAGUACCCCGCCUGGGGAGUACGGCCGCAAGGCUAAAACUCAAAGGAAUUGACGGGGCCCCGCACAAGCGGCGGAGCAUGCGGAUUAAUUCGAUGCAACGCGUAGAACCUUACCUGGGUUUGACAUGGAUCGGGAGUGCUCAGAGAUGGGUGUGCCUCUUUUGGGGUCGGUUCACAGGUGGUGCAUGGCUGUCGUCAGCUCGUGUCGUGAGAUGUUGGGUUAAGUCCCGCAACGAGCGCAACCCUUGUUCACUGUUGCCAGCACGUUAUGGUGGGGACUCAGUGGAGACCGCCGGGGUCAACUCGGAGGAAGGUGGGGAUGACGUCAAGUCACCAUGCCCCUUAUGUCCAGGGCUUCACGCAUGCUACAAUGGCUGGUACAGAGAGUGGCGAGCCUGUGAGGGUGAGCGAAUCUCGGAAAGCCGGUCUCAGUUCGGAUUGGGGUCUGCAACUCGACCUCAUGAAGUCGGAGUCGCUAGUAAUCGCAGAUCAGCAACGCUGCGGUGAAUACGUUCCCGGGGCUUGUACACACCGCCCGUCAAGUCAUGAAAGUUGGUAACACCCGAAGCCGGUGGCCUAACCGUUGUGGGGGAGCCGUCGAAGGUGGGACUGGUGAUUAGGACUAAGUCGUAACAAGGUAGCCGUACCGGAAGG
rnacentral:rRNA from 1 species